rnacentral:rRNA from 1 species
UGGGGGGAACAACGCUGGCGGCAGGCUUACCACAUGCAAGUCGAACGCCGUAGCAUACGGGAGUGGCAGACGGGUGAGUACGCGUGAUCUUCCCAAAGGUACGGAACAACUCAGGAAACUUGAGCUAAUACCGUAUGUGCCCGAGAGGGCAAAGAUUUAUCGCCUUUGGAUGAGCCCGCGUUGGAUUAGCUAGUUGGUGGGGUAAUGGCCUACCAAGGCGACGAUCCAUAGCUGAUCUGAGAGGAUGAUCAGCCACACUGGGACUGAGACACGGCCCAGACUCCUACGGGAGGCAGCAGUGGGGAAUCUUGGACAAUGGGCGAAAGCCUGAUCCAGCCAUGCCGCGUGAGUGAAGAAGGCCUUAGGGUUGUAAAGCUCUUUUGCCCGGGAAGAUAUGACGGUACCGGGAGAAUAAGCCCCGGCUAACUCCGUGCCAGCAGCCGCGGUAAUACGGAGGGGGCUAGCGUUGUUCGGAAUUACUGGGCGUAAAGCGCACGUAAGCGGCUUUGUAAGUUAGAGGUGAAAGCCCGGGGCUCAACUCCGGAAUUGCCUUUAAGACUGCAUCGCUAGAACGUCGGAGAGGUAAGUGGAAUUCCGAGUGUAGAGGUGAAAUUCGUAGAUAUUCGGAAG